CUCGAGUUACGUUCUGUGUAAACUACUGUAAGUGAGUCUUGUGAUGUCUCAGAGCUGGGAUUAAAGUCUUUUUCCUCAACGACAAAGAUCUGUCUCUCUUCUUUAGAGAAGUUGUUUUGAGGGCAAACCUGACCAGCCAUGUUGAACAAGGUUGUGUUGACUUGUGCAGUAAUUCUGAUCCUCCAGUUUAUAUCAACAGGCACAGCUGCUCCAUGUGACCCCAAAUGCACAGGAGGCCAGGGAUCAUGUCAGAGUAAUGGACGCUGUCUUUGUUGGUGGGGCUGGACUGGGCCUCAUGCAGCGUACAUCACAUCAGGGGUGCGCAAAAACAGAAUACUGGUAAGGAAUGCAAGACGGAACAUUUAGUUGUGAAAUGGGUUAUUCCAGAAAAUAUCUUUCUCAAACUCAUUAAUAAAAAUAAUUCAUCAGACAAGUUUAUUUUAAACAAUUGAAAGGAAUUCAUGACUGUGACUGUGUUUGGAUUACAUCUGAUCGUAGAUUUUUUUUAUUUUACU